CAAAUUAGAACUUGUUUAGUAAAGUAUUUUAUUUACAUUAAAAAGAUGUCGUGCAAAUCGAUAUAAUUUGA
rnacentral:tRNA from 2 species